CUCCCAGUGUUAUGCAAAACGGGCCGGCACAAACGCUUCCACACCAGCCCACAGCUUCCUCGUCCUCGCUCCCGAACACCAGAGCACACACUCCUGUCAUGCGCUUGUAGCCGGUGUGGCUCCCAGCCUUAGCCAGAGCCCGGGACGCCGCCUCACCUUCCCUUCCCCCUGCAUCGUGGAGCGCGCGCCGGGAACGCGCGCCGCAGGGGGACCCAGGCACCCCCUAGAUAGUCCUUCCGCCCGGAUCCUGCCUUCCUCGCUCCUAACGGGUCUCCUCCGGUUAGUGAGAGCUGGAAGACGCAAUCUCCGCCCGCAUGUCCACGUGCCCUGCCGACCCCUAUUCCCCUAGCCAGCAACUGACAGGAAACUCUGCGCUGCCGGAGCAGGUGGGGGGCUAUGGGGUACCCGAUGCUGGAGAACCAGGGGACUCCAGGGCUACCGAUCGCCUCCCUUAGCCCCGCCACAAGUGCACGUGAAAGUACGGCAGCAAGUGCCAGGCGCCGAGGACGCGCCUACAACACCCAGAGCCAGCCUUUAGGGAUCCCCCGACCCUGGCUGGAUUCUACCUGCGGGAGGAAUUGUAGUACCCCUCAACUUUGCCAGUGGGGGACAGUAGACUCUAGGUGGCCCUGGCUGUGUCCCCCAAUGCUACAGCAUGCGCCGGCGACCUGCAGCUCGCUACGCCUGUAACGGAGCGCAGCACAAGGCACGUGGAAGGGGGGGCUCUGCAGCCUGAACCCCCCGAUCACCCCGGUGCGCCCACCGCUGCGCUCGUUCCCUCUGCAGCUGCGGCUGCAGCCCCGCGGUUCUGCACCCACGUCCCCGGCCUGCGUUCCCUGCUGGCAGUACCUGCGUGUCAGAGAGAUAGUUGAGGAAGAAGGACGAGAGCUCUUCAUCCAGCAGCGCGCCGCAGUCGUUCCCCGCCAUCUUCCAGCCGCGGCUGCAGCGUGCGGCGGAGUCAGCGCCGAGCCCGCCCGGGGGAGGGAGCGAGCGAGCGAGCAAGCGAGCGAGGAGGAGGGAGGAGGCUGCCCGGCGGGCGGGUGGAGGGCGGAGCUCGGGCCCCCGGCUGCGGCAGGCGGGCUGGCUGCGGGGGCGGGGCCGCGCGAGCCUGGGGUCGCACCCCCGGCUUUUCCUGCUCCUAGUCUAGCGCAGGGACCAGGUCUCGCAGCCCCCCGCAGGGGAAAAAAAAAAAGCUCCGGCAGCCAGGUGGCGGUGCCCGGGCCAGCAGCCGGGUGCCUGCGCAGCAAUGCGGGCACCCCCUCCUUACUGUUAGAGCGAAUCACGUUGCGUUAGCGCUGGGCGGGCCCUUGCCAGACAACCUGCUUCUACACAGCUGGGGAAACUGAGGCUCCGGGAGGCUUAGAGCCGCUUUUAAAGCCGCAGUGCUCUGCAACAGCAAAAGAGAAAGCUGCGGAGACCUCAGUUCUCUCUCUCUCUCUCUCCCCAGACAGCAAGGCCAGAGAGGGAGGGAGACACGCACAGGUCAAAGGCGGAGAAAUCAGAGAAGGCUCCUCAGAGGGGGUGACAGUCAUAUGUUUUCUUUGUAGCAUUUUUAUCCUCAUUUCCUGUUAAGCCAUCUCUCUCCCCCGGGCUUACUCAAUAGCCACCGUUGAAAAAAAAUUCAAUCAUGUCUUUUACUGUACCCCAGUGUUUAGAAUUGGCUAAGCUUCUGUCAGCCUCUCGGGCCCAUUGGCCUCCCUUUUCUUAUUAUGAACCUUCUGAAAAGGGGCUGCUACACCAAUCAGCCAUCCACCAAAAAAAAUGGUAUCUUUAGGGCAUCCUUACCCACCAACCUUGUAAGUACCAACCCAUGUGUUGCUCUCCUACCUCAAGCCUAUGCGCUACCCUUUCCUUAGAAGUGUCUCAGCCUCCCUUGUACCUUGGCUUAGAGGAAGACUCCAUCUGAGUCACUCUGUCCUUGCUAGAGUCUAAGACGCAUGGAACCAGGCUUAAAUCUUGCUUUGGCUAUUUCUCCAGUUUACCAGAGGUAGUUAAUAAACAGUGUGUUAACUGAAAA